rnacentral:rRNA from 1 species
UGAGGAAUAUUGCACAAUGGGCGCAAGCCUGAUGCAGCGACGCCGCGUGGGUGAUGAAGGUCUUCGGAUCGUAAAGCCCUUUUCUGCGUGACGAGACAGGACGGUAGCGCAGGAAUAAGCCCCGGCUAACUUCGUGCCAGCAGCCGCGGUAAUACGAAGGGGGCUAGCGUUGUUCGGAAUUACUGGGCGUAAAGCGCACGUAGGCGGAUCAGCAAGUCAGGGGUGAAAUCCCGGGGCUCAACCUCGGAACUGCCUCUGAUACUGCUGGUCUGGAGUCCGGAAGAGGUGGGUGGAAUUCCUAGUGUAGAGGUGAAAUUCGCAGAUAUUAGGAAGAACACCGGUGGCGAAGGCGGCCCACUGGUCCGGUACUGACGCUGAGGUGCGAAAGCGUGGGGAGCAAACAGGAUUAGAUACCCAAGUAGUCCCUGAGCGGGCUGGCAAGGCGCAU